GCUUCUGCAGCCCUGCGCAUUGGCAGGCUCUCAGGGCUGGGUUGGGUUUAGGAAUUAACUUGAAGUGUUAAUUUUGUAAAUAUCUAGACAGGGUUGAUCCUCCACAAGAGGAGAGUUGAUCACACAGAAAGACCUAAAAGCCUUAGAGAGCUACAAAAGUGUUUCCCAACUGCAAGCCCCAUUUAUUUCUACUACACGACACGACCUCUGUGGAUCAGCAGCUGUUUCCUUUGCUCAGCAACUGAACAGCCCAUUCCCUCUUUGUUUCAACUUUGCAGGGGAUCACCAAUGGGGAGCUGAGAUACUAAAGCUCUCCAUGGGAAUGAAAGUUAAGAAGGGCACCAGGGAGGCCACUGGCACACAGGGUCUCCGUCUGUAACCCGGGCUGGAGUGCAGUGGCGCGAACACGGCUCACUGCAGACUCGACCUCCUGGGAUGGGAUCUCAUCAUGUUGCCCAGCCUGGUCUCCAAUUCCUGGACUCCUCCCACUUUGGCCUCCCAAAGUGCUGGGAUUAUAGGUAGCAGUCAAUAGUAUUGAACAAGAAAAAGCUGCAUGACUUUUAGACCAGAGGAGUGAGGACAGCACUUAGAGGAGGCACACAGCCAACACGUCCAGUUAACCAGGAUAAAUGAUUUAAAAGAACUUUGUAAAAAUGCUGAACAUAAUUUGCUAUCACCAAAUAUAGGAAUCUCUGAAGCCAGCUGUCUUGCUCAUAUGAAAUGCAAUGACAAGAUCCAAAUUGUGAGAAAAGGAAUCCAACUUGGUUGGAACAGGAAAGAAACAAAAACAAAGAACCUCUGGCCCAGAGUCAUUUCUGUUUGGAAAAAUUUCUGAAGAUUAAACUUAGGCCCUGAGUGCACCUAACAGUGCAAUCUGCAGGCUGCCAACGCGUAGCCGUGGAACUAAAUCCAGCAGCUCAAGGUGAGAGAAAAUUAAGUGGAUAGAGUCUACCUCCUUAAGAUACUCUUCUUAUCAGAGCUUCCUGAGACCUUCCAGAGUGAUGAGUUCCAAAUUACGUACAGCCAUAGGAAAAUAAAUAUUUGGCCAGCUGUAGACAUUGGAUUUACUUAUCUGUAGCCUAUUUCUAGCUUCAGAACAAUUUCUACUUCUACCUUAUAAUCCACCACAGCCCAGGAGUUUAAGGAUCUUUUAUUAAAGUAUCUUCACGUAGUUUAUUUUUUGAAACAAAAAUUACCACUAAGAAAAUAUUUUUUAAAAAUACUCUCCAAUUAUACAUAGUGUACAUGUGUAUGUGUAUAAAUACAUAACAUAUAUUUUACUUUCACACAGAGGUUAAAAUCAAGUCAGUGCCCUGGUCUACUCCCUAUGUGGAAAGUUCAGAGAGAAGGGUCUGAACAUGGCUUUUUCCUAAGUUUGUUAUAUUCCUUGGAACAUGUUUCACAGGAUGUUACUUAGGGCUCCAAUUGACUGGACAAAAUAAUCAUUACACAUACAGAAAAGAAAUUACUAAUUUCUUUAAUAUAAAAAUGUAUCUUACAAAUCAAUAAGAAAAGAUAACUCUAUAGGAAAAUAGGCAAAGGAAAUAUCCAGGCAGUUCAGGAAGAGGAACAAAAAGCAGGAAAUCAACAUGUGAAAACAUACUCCACCUUGCUUGUAGUUUAAAAAUUCAAAUUCAAAUGAUGAUGAGACAGAAAUUUUCACUUCCAGUUGGUACAGAUUUUUUCUUUUUUUUUAAGACAGAGUCUCCCUCAGUCACCCAGGCUGGAGUGCAGCAGCCUAGGAUCUUGGCUUACUGCAACCUCCAUCUCCCAGGUUCAAGCAAUUCUCCUGCCUCAGCCUCCUGAGUAGCUGCGACUAUAGGCACCCCCCACCAUGCCCAGCUAAUUUUUGUAUAUUUUCAGUAGCGAUGGGGUUUCACCAUGUUGGCCAGGGUGGUCUCGAGCUCCUGACUUCAGGUGAUCCAUCCACCUGGGCGUCCCAAAGUGCUGGGAUUACCAGUGUGAGCCACCGCACUCAGUCAGAUUUUUAAAAGAGGUAAAACCAGGAUAAGAUAUGAGAAAACAGUCGUUUCAUACAUUGUUCAUAAGUGUAUAAAUUGAUAUAAUGUUUUGUGUUGGCAAUGUUGCAAUACUUAUUAAAAUUGAACCCCACAUUUUACUUCUACUGUAGAAGUAAUUAUAGUAGUAACCUAUAGAAAACAUUCCCCUAAGUACACAAAGACAAAUGUACAUGAAUGAUGUACAUAGUUCCUAACAGCUAAACACUGGAAACAAACCUCUGAAAAGAAUUUGGUAGAUCUAUAUGUACUUACACAGAAAGGGUUCCAAGAUACAGCAACAUGUAAAAAGAGCAAGUUAUAAAAAUGAUUUAGAAAAUGAUUCAAUUUUUGUUAUAUGCAGAGGAAAAAAAAUCUAGUGUCAUAUAGACUAAAAUAUAAAUACUAGCUAUUUCUGGGGGUUGGCAUUUUGGAGUACCUUCCAUUUCUAUCUCAUGUUAUUUCUGUAAUAUUUGAUCAUAUACUAAGGGUAAAAGAAAAACAAUUUAAAAAAUAACAGUAUGAACAUCACUUACAUAGCUUUCUUGCCAACCCCCAGAAAUAGCUAGAUUAGAUUCAGGAUCAUGUUAAAUCUGAAGCUAAACAUGAGGAAACAACAAUCAGAUAAAUCCAGAUUGUGUGAGAUGCUGCAAGAUAACUAACCUGGACUCCUAAAAUGUGUCAAUGUCAUGAAAAAUGAAAAGAGUCAUGGAGACUGUUCUAGAUUACAAACAACUAAAGAGACCUGACAAUGAAACACAAUAUGUGAUAUCUGACUGGAUUCUAAAUUUAGACACACAUGAAAAAACAUUAUAAAGGACCUUCAUGGAACACAACUGCAUGGGUGACUCUACAUGACAGAAUAGUAUUUCUAGGAUCAUAUUUUGGGAAAUGCUGGGAUAGAAAAUGUCCCUUUAACUGAAGCUUAUUGUGACCCUUCAUGCUAGAUGUUCCUAUAUUUUUUUUUCUUAUUUAAUCCUGGUAAUUUACAGAAGAAGAUGAUGAUUUUCUAUCAAACUUAAACUCUAAUUAUUACUCUGAUUGUUGAGAGAUGCCAAUAUAUUCAUUUCUAGAAUAUCUUACCUGGUUUAUAGAUUUUUCAAUUAGUGCUUAGAUACCAACUGUAAUUUAUUAUCAAGUUGGGGAAUUUCUGAGCUGUAGGGGAUCUUAGAGGAAUUGUGGGAUCAACCCUUAUCAUUUUACAGAUGAGCAAAGGAACUCCGAUGGGCUAUGUGACUUACAGAUAUUUAAUUAGGAGAACCGGCUUUGGAAACCUAGCCUCCAAAUUCAGUAGUCUUACCAUAAAACUAUUAUGAUUUACUUACCCUUGCUGAAUGCCAGCAGUGGACAAGGCAUCAUAACGGCCUGCCCUAAGGCACCCUUCUGCCGGAAAGAGGCUCAACACUUGAGGAGGAAUUGCAUGACAAUCUUCAGGGAGCAAGAGCAUCCAACUCCCCGCACUUCUAAUCAUGCAGGCAGUCUGCCGAGUCCACGUUGCACUAAGGCAUGCCCUUUGCCUGACUUGUUUGUUACAUAAGAAAGCACUAGGAGUUCGAGCCAAUACUCUUUUUUCUUUAAAAAAAAAAAAAAAAGACAAAAGACAAAGCAAACUGACUGCUUAUGGAAGAUGGAUCACAAAAGAGUCCUAAGUCCUUUCCUUAUCCUCCUAAUAAACGUUUCCCUCACAACAUAUUUCCAGUAGGCCUCAAUCCAUCUGGUAGAAUGAUGGGGGAGAUUAAAUCAUUUGUUCUUUAUAAAAUGUGUGUAACACUUUCUCAACUACACUAAGACUCCAGAUUUAUACAACCCUCAUUUUAUAUCUCCCUCUGAGAAUAACCUCCUGAUUUACAGGAUUUAAAGAAGUCAAAAGCCCUUCUCCCUAAAGCAAUUUUCUUCACUGGCUUAUACCCAUUCUUUUUUUAGAUGGAGUCUCUCUCUGUUGCCCAGGCUGGAGUGCAGUGGUGUGAUCUCAGCUCACUGCAACUUCUGCCUCCCAGGCUCAAGCAAUUCUCCCUAAUUUUUGUAUUUUUAGUAAAGACCGGAUUUCACUAUGUUGGUCAGGCUGGUCUUGAACUCCUGACCUCAGGUAAUUGGUCUGCUUCGGCCUCCCAAAACGCUGUGAUUACAGGCAUAAGCCACCAUGCCUGUCCUUAUACCCACUCUUUAGGAGGCCAAUGGAAUGCCCCCCAAUGAUGAUAGUAAAAGGGUGACUUCCCUUGUUGAGGGGGUAGGACAGGCACAGGGCUCUUGAGAGCACAGAGAGCCACAAAGGUGACCAAGACCAAGGUUUGUAGAGGUAAGUCCAAGUCUAAAUAGCUGGAAAAGCACAUGCAACCUCAAAUCUGGAGACUACCAAGAUUGUGGUCGUGAAUCGAGGGUUUGGAAUUGAAUGGAAAUGGGUUGGCUGCACAGACAGGUCAGGGCCAGGCAAGACUGUCUUGGAAAAUAGCCCCAGAUUCUAGCUGGCAUGUGUCGUUUGCCAUGUGUGGUUGGCAGGGUCUUGUGUCUCGAAUUGGCUGAUGUGGCCAGGAUCAGGUGGGACCAGAAGAGCCACUGCACGAUCAGUGAACUACUGUUGAGAUCUCCAGGGCCUGAGUUAGGGUCUGGAGUGAAAACUGGAUCCCCACAUUCAGGGGGUCAGCAGGGUGUGAGGUCAAAGGUAAACCCAUUGUUGGUCUAAUAAUCAAAUUUGACAAAUCAAAAGAGGAGUAAGAAUCCAAGCAUGAAGCCACGGAGAGCAGGCAGCCCAGGCAGCCAACCUUAGAAGUGUGUAGUGCAGGGCUGGGGUGGAGAGGGGUUGGGAGGAUGCCAGGCCCAAAGAGUAGAUGGUACAGCCACUUUUCAUCGUGUUCCUGCUGUUCCGAAUGGGGACGUAUCUGUGUCAUUAAAAUACCACUGGACAUUUGUUUACUCUGUUUCUUUGCAAUUAACUGAGAGUAUGAAGUAGAAAGGAGAAGUUUGCUUAUGGGGAGAGUAUGUUUGUGUUGACAGGAAGUCCUAUGGGAGCCCUUCAGAGUUUCAAACAUGCAGUCAUUUUUCUGUGCCGGGGCAGGAAGAAGCAGGGGAUAUGGCCGAAAGGACUGCUCCUUGAUUAGCCAUACUGAGUUCUCCAACUGACUAGUUGGAGAUCCAUGGAUCAGAUCAGGUGCUUGCAAUUUGGAGAGGGUAUGUAAAGUUCCUACACUCAAGUUCUAACAGCUCAGUUCAGACACAUUUAUGCUUAAGCCCCAAGGAAGGGAACCAGGAAGCCCGAGUACUAGAGAAGGCUAUGUUCCCAGCAUGAAAGCCUGAGAAGACUGAGUGCCAACAGCACAGGGAAGAAAGAGAGAGUGAACCCCAAGGGUGCUCCCAGGCCUACUCAGAGAAGAGGGUAGAUGGUGGGGUCCAGCUCACAGGAUGCCAGUGUGCCCCUCUUUACCCCAGCCUCAACCACAAUAGCUCAGCUUUUGUCUGUGUCACAUAAUGGGUUCUCUGUAACUUUCAAUCGGCUUUAGAUCACUUGAAAAUGACCACCCUGUACCAGCAAUGCCAAAUGCCAUCCCCAUCUUAGCUCUGAGUUGGUUGCCAUGUCAGACCCUCUCCUCAAGGGAUUUACAAUCUCUCUGGAAAGCCCAGGUUUAUGCAAUGGCAAAAAGGAGACAACAAUAUAGGAUGGGUCUUAAGUGAAUGCUAAGUGAUAUGUUACAGGCUGCAAGUGACUCAGAGUUAACAGAAAAAAAGAGAUCCAUUGGUUGUGGGGUAUGGCAGGAUAUGUCAAAAAGGAAAGAAAUUUCUACAAAAAAAAAGUGGAACUUGAGCUGAGCCUUAAAAGGAGGAGAAGAUUUGAAGAAAUGGGGAGGGCAUCCCAAGCUUUGGGAAGAGCAUGAACAAAGGUGUACAGACAGGAAUACUUAAGGCCAGUUUAGGAAACAGUAAAUUUAAAAACAUAUGGAUGAUUGACAGCAUAUUCCAUUUUUAAAAUUACUUAUUCAGACUCUAUCCUGAGCAAGAACAAUUUCCUGUGGUUUAUAAAUAGGCCCCAGUUAUUUUAGUAGAACUGUAACACUGGUGAUCAUUCAUGAAAUGUUCCAUGGAGACUUCAGUUUUCCAAGGGCCAGGAGAAAAUGUAUAAAUGCGUAAGAAAUGGUCCAGAACAUGAAACACCAUCGGUAAAACCUAAUACAAGGUUGCUGCAGAAACUUUCUUUUCCUAACAAGGUACUUAUCUCCUUCUCCCUUCUUCCCUCCUAGAUUUGUUCCAGAUUUACUAUGCAAAAUGCCUAAGGUUUUUGAAAGAACUAGAAUAGAAAUUGGGAGAUAAAGAAAUAGGCACAAGAGAUGAUGUCAUUUGUUUAAGCUCACAGGGAAGGCAGUGCCAGGGUUGCAAUUCAGGAUGCCCAUCUCAAGUUUCCUUUAACUGAUGAUCUUGAACACAGAAUUCUACCCGCCUUCAUAACCUAAGAAGCCAUCAGCAUUGUGCAGAAUUCCAAUUCCCUCAGUUCCUAUGAUGAGAACCUUCUCACCAGUCUG
rnacentral:lncRNA from 10 species